rnacentral:tRNA from 1 species
GUUUUAGCUUAAUUAAAGUGCUUGAGUUGCAUUCAGGAGAUGUAGAUUAGAGUUUUACAGGCCUUCAC